AUCAGAGAGCUAAAAAGGCUUUCAACAACUCAAUGGUAAACACAAACAGUAACAAAUAAAUCUCCGACCAACACACAAAGCACACAGGAUCAAGCAGAAUCAGAAAGGAUAUUCAGACGACCAACGGAUUAGAGCACAACACCUACUGCUGGAAUAUCACAUGAUUAGGAAGAAACAUAGUGCCUUAACAGCAACAAUA
rnacentral:lncRNA from 1 species